GGUAGUAGUAGAACGCUAACGUUAGGCUAUAAACGAACUACACCACGUUCACAUGAGCACGAGUUUACACAACGAGGCCGUAAAGGCAGACGAGUCAUGUGAUGACGUUUAGUGGUCUCAUUUAGCCACUUAUUAGCAACCGCCUUUUUUAAGACACGUAAAAGCUUAAAAAUUCACAAGCGCUAU